CCUAGGGGAGGCAGCAGUAGGGAAUCUUCGGCAAUGGACGAAAGUCUGACCGAGCAACGCCGCGUGAGUGAAGAAGGUUUUCGGAUCGUAAAACUCUGUUGGUAGAGAAGAACGUUGGUGAGAGUGGAAAGCUCAUCAAGUGACGGUAACUACCCAGAAAGGGACGGCUAACUACGUGCCAGCAGCCGCGUAAU
rnacentral:rRNA from 1 species